UUUAGCUCUUUUUUUCUGCCUCCAAAUUUUGAGUUCAUCUGAGCCUAUCAGAUUGAUUUUGACAAGCCAAACAAGAGUGGCGAGUGUUAUGGACUAUCUCAGAGAUUUCAUCAUUCCUUUAGGAAUAUUUGUGGCUCAGGCCAUUAAAGCUGGAAGAAUUGUGAAGAAAUGAGAUUUAAGCAAGGGUGGUGUUUCAUAAUUGUAUUAGUCAGGAUCCUGGCACCAAACAGCUUGGCAUGCUUUUCAGAUGAUUUAAGAACUUAAUAAAGGGACUAUUAACAACAAGGGAUAAUGUAAUGACCUUGUCACUGCCAGGUUUCUCUUGCCAUUUCAGUGCCUAAAUGGGAAAUUCAUGGAGUGGUUUUGAGAGACGCAAAACAAUGCAAGGAAGAGACAGGUCAGGAGACAAAAACAGCACAAGAGCUUUGUAAAGCUAAGACCGUUGAUAGGAGCGUGAGCAUGGGAACAUGGCCGGGGUUACACCAGCAGCAGAGAAAUGGGAAACUAAGGAUGAAACCGGAUCCUCACAUCUCUCUUCCCACUUGUUCAUCUUCUGGUCUUUUGUUUUUGAUUUUUCCUAAUUAGUUGAAUCCACCUGGAAGCCUGUGGUGAAGCGAAUCUGCCGAACACAUAGCAGAGGUUCCUGCGUGAUAAGAGCGUGGAGAAGAAUGUAUGGUGGAUGAGGAGAACAAGCAGACACCCAGCCUUGCUAACUUUCCGCUCUCUCACGCAGGCUUCCAUCUCUUUCAACCUAGACAGCUGGUGACACAUCGAAGCAAAUCUGAUCAUCUGGGACUAAUUUUUCACUACCUGUGCUUGUACCUUGAGCCUCAGAGACGCAAAGUUCCAUCGCGUUUCUCUUUGUCUGUAGGUACCAUAGAAUGCCAGGAAUGCCAUCUGCAGCUCUUGACCCUCUGCCAGACUUCAUUUGUGGAGGGUCCGGAAUGUGACUCCAUCUUACACAGGGAGCAACUCCGUUUUAAAUAAGGACCUACGCGUGAGUCCAGGAAGUCCUCCAGUCAAGUUUAGCCAAUCGGCUAAACAAUUUUAAACCUGGCCUUAUAAGGCUAGGGCGGCCCAGAUUUACAGGGUACAGCUGUUACUAACCAUAUAUGCCUAAAAACCCACAAUGGUAGAAUGGGUUAAUGAGUCCCAUCCAAUCAACACGUGCCUCAUGUAGCGGCUCCUUGCCUGACCAGUUAGAACAGAGAUUAGCUCACCACACUUAGAAUUCCCCAAGUUUACUUUAAAGGGGCCUGUGUACCUUUGUCCCCAGUCAUCAUCACCAUUUUGUGUGGAUGAUGGACCCCUGCAUGCUGGCUAUUUCUGUAGAAUAAUGCUUUCUGUGUUUGCAUACCGUUCAUGUCGGGGGUGGGGUGGACGGCUUUCUUCAGCGAUUCUCAGACCUUACAGUUUUGAUUUCUACUAACCAAUGUUCACUUUUCUCUGCAGAUUUUUGGAUCUCCUUCCAGUAGAGCUGGGCACUAUCUUUAUUGCCCUCUGUGACCAUCCGCCUCCAUCCCUUCUCAUACCCUGUGGAACACUGCUAACACCUCUUGCGUGUGUCUCCUUUCUGUGGCUCCUUGAGGGCUUCUGUGUCUGUCCCCUCACUGCAUUUGAUGUCGUUAGCAUUUCACAGAGGGCCUGGCAGAGCUGGAGCUCAGAAAAUGCUUGACAAAUGAACAGUUCCUCGGCUUUCAGUUGGGCUCCCAUCUGCCUUGCUCAUUUCCACACGCCCUCCAGAUUAAUAUUUCAAAACUCAGUCUCUUCAGCCCUCUGCUCCUAGACUCUCCAGUACCCCACUGUGAGUGGACGGAUGGGCAAGGCUUCCUGCCUGUCUGCACUGCGCUUUAUUGUGUGGGGGUAUUCACUUCUCAUCUACUAUCUCGCCUCCCUGGCUCUUUUCCUACACCUCUCAUCCCCAUUCCAAGACUUAUGGAACCGCCAGUUGUUCCCAGCAGGUCUUGCUUGCCCAUGUUUUGUUGCAUUUGCAUUUGCUUAUCCUUCUGUCUGGGAAGCCUUCUCCAUUACAACACUCUGCAGAAAGCUCUGCUUUUCUCCCGCCCCCCCCCCCUCUUAUCUAAGUCUUUGCUUUUUAAGGCUAUAGGUGACAUUAUUUUCUUUAUUAUAGACACUUUGAAGGCUUUCCCUUUCAGUUGACAAACUCGGGUACUUUUUUUACCUUAUGAAAUUCCUUACAUAUUGUAUUGAUGUCAUGUGUCGUCUUGUGCGUUGCUAUUGGCUUUCUUUGUUUCCAGACUUGAAAAGAAACCCUGAUGCAGAGCUGGGGAGAUAGCCAUCUUGCUGUAUUCACACAGGUACCCACUCACAAUGUAUCCACAAAUAGCCCCACAAAUGUGCUUUGAACAAAUGGACAAAUGAAUGAAUCAGCCAAGCCUGAACCAAUGGACUUGGAUUAUUCCAUGAGCAUCUCUGGUUAUUCCUACACAGCGUGAGUGUCUCUACACAGCACGAGGGUCUCUCCUGCCAAGGGCACAAAGACCACACCACGUAGAACCUGGCCAGUGGGAUGCACACAGAGGAGCAUACGGAACUGUAGCUCCGUGUCCUUUCCUGAGUAAAGGGUCACCUUUCUUUCUCCUUUCUCUUUUCUUCUGACUUUACCAUGGAUAUGUAGGCUGCAGCACAUACAGCCAUCUUGGGUCAGGUGUCGGAAGCCACAUGCUGGGAGCGGUGAAGGGAAACACCAGGGGAUCCUGAAUCUCUCAUGACGAUAGAACUUCCAAAGGAGCCCAGACAGCUAUGCAGACUUUUCCAGGAGGAAGAAAAUUCUGUUGUUCAAGCCAUUUUUACAGGAGAUGUUUUUAUCAUCUUCCAUUAAGCUCCAUCCUAAUCAAUAAACCAAGAAUUCCAUCUCAGGGUGACAGCUGGCAUUUAAUUGACAGUGACUGUACCUCAGUACGACAAAGACCCCAGCUGAGGUUUCCAUGGUAACGACAGCAGUGAUUCUAUGAAGUGUCUUUCUUUCCUCACUCCUCUUUCAAGAUUUUCAGGCUGUAAUUUUUAAAAAAAAAAGUUUUUCCUUUUAAAAUAACAGAAUGUGUCUAGAUUCAUUUUGUUGAGUCAGUUGUGAGACUGCAGAGGUUCCUAGGACUCGAAUACACUAUAAGUCAAGGAUUUUGUUUCUAACAAGCUGUGUGAUUUGGGGCAAGUCAGUUGUCCUCUAUAAGCUCCGAUUUCCUCAUAUACCAAAUAUAAACCCAAAUCAUCCGUACAAAGGCCUGCAGGAAGUGUACACAAAGUG